GGGAAGCGGGCUCUGAGGCGGCGAGGGCAGUGCCCGAGUUCUGAGGGCUCCGACCGGCCCCCUCGGACCCGGCCGGGACCCGGCGCAAGGAGGGGUGGAACGGACCCGGCUUCAGCAACACACAGGGCGGUGUUCCUGCCUGCCGGCAGCAUCUGCUGGAAGAGGCAAGGCUGCCCCCUCCCUGCGCCCAGAGGGGGACACGGAGGGUGAGCUGUGGUACGCAGCAGGCAGGUCAGCCAGCCCCGGACGGAAUUGUGCCAAUCUGAGGAAACAAGGGGAGGACACAAGACAAACCUCAGCAGCACCAAAGCCCUGUUCUGGAAAACACAACCUUGCUUCCAGGGAAUCACAGAAGGUACCGGAACAGUCAAGAGAUAGUCUUUGGAGUGUUCCUACUUGCGUCACCAGUCUGUGAAUGACACCUUUUGCAAAGGAAGCCUUGAGCUCACUUGGAGAAAAAACAAAGUACAAGAACCCCAUUGUUUUGGCUGCAAAAUUACCCAAUUUGACGUAGUGCCACUGGUUGAACUUGUUAAAUAUCCCAGAUAAUUAAGUCUUGAGCAUCCAAGGCUUGUUGUAUUUUCCUCAAGUCCAUUUUAAAGGCAGUUCCCUAACCAAUGUGUUCUUGUCUGUCCCAAGCAACAAACUCCCAUCAUUUGAGGGGACUUCAGCCAUAACAGCCCUUCGCCUGUGGUCUGCCAAUAAACACAGUUAGUUUAGCCGUGACGAAGGACUCCGUGCCCAGCUCUGCCGUCAUGUGCUCCUGCUCUUCAUCUCGUUUCCACGCUCGUCCCCGCCAAGCAGGAACCCAGCCGGAGAUCCCUUUUGGUACAGCCUCAUCCCUCCAUUUGGAUCUUCCUCGCUCCUCCUCGCUGUCUUUGCAGUUUCUGUUGUUAGUAUGUUUUCCCUUGAACAGGUUAAGGCAUUAGACUAUGGAUGUCAUGCUUUCUUUUACGUUAGCUUUUAUGGUCAGUGUAUAGAAAUGGAAUACAAGUUAAUUCUCCCCAUACAAUCCAAGAUAGUAUUAUGGAAUAUUUUUAUCUAUUUGUGGUGUCUGCAGGCUGUGGGAGAAGCUAUCUUGUUGCAGUGCCUUAUGAAGAUGCCAUUUUUUUUCCUCUUCAAUUCACUUACCUGCAACUUGUCAGAAUUAAUUAAAUGCUGUGAUUGCUUUGUUCUCCAUUCAGUGGGCAUUUACCCAACUCAUAAAUACAAGAGUAGCUCCCCUGAGCUCUAUUUCCACUCAGGUAGAGUUGCUAAGGUAUUCCCAGAAAUGUCUGAGGAAAAUGAGGAACCCAUAUGGGCAUGUGUUUGGGAGGGUCCUAAUUUGGCUGUUUUCUAAAACCCAAAUCAUGUUGCUCAGAUCAAUUAGGUUUUGCCUAUUAACAUUAAAACCACUCACUUUUAUCCCCAGGUAUUUUUAUAGUCCCCUUUACUCCCAAUUUGGCAUGGGCAAUGCUGCUAUCCAAAAUAAAUGAAGUAUGUGAAGACAGACAGUUUAAAGGCGUUGAGGAAUGUAGCUGUUUCAGACCUCUUACAUCUCACUCGACUCUCACCUCAUUUGUUAAUGGGCCCAUUUUUCCCUGUAGGACAAUAAUGCUUUUCUCUGUGACAUUUUAUGAAAGACCUACUAAACCUCCUUUUGUCCCUUAGAGUAAAAUCAGUUGAAUUGGCUUCUUUUCUGGUGCCUUGUUUUCCCUAGAGAAUCUGGGUUGGUUCUGUCCUUUCUGUCCUCCAGGCCUUACAAACAGUAUGAUAAGAAAUACUGUCUUAGCUGUCUUAUGAAUCUAGACACAAUAUGGGCAGAUGGUAGGCUCACUAGGGGGAGGCUUGUCACUAUCUGAAAAGGUUGGAUGUAUAGCCAAAGAGAAGAAUAUUUGUUCAUUUUAAGUAUGAGGAGCUAAAAUAGCAACUUGCAGAGAGAUACACAGUUUGUGACACCAUGGGGAGCUGUUUCUGGAUCUCCUGGGACAUUGGUGAUCCUUCUGCUGUUUGCAGGGUGUCUCCCUGGACCCAAAGAUUUGCAAACAUUUCCAUAUCUCCAUCCACCCUUGGGAUGCAGGUGCGUGUUACCACCGGUAGUGGCGAACUGGGGACCAGAGAACAAAGAUCCCCCUGGCGUGACAGUCAUUACAUCAGGCAGGCGGCCGCAUCCCUUGUGUAGCUGCAGACAAAAUACCUUAGUAUUAAACUUACUCUGCAGUGGCAUAAACAGCUGGGAUAGUUCCUGUGCUCUUUGAUUUAUCCCGACAGGCUACGAAUGUCUUUACUGCACAUUUCCUUAGAAGUUUGUUGCAGCCUGACACACGCUGCUCCCAUGAUGCCUCACAGAGCUCAAUCAAUGUCCUUCCCUGGCUGCAAGAGGAAAAACACUCUGAGCCAGCCUUGCAGGCUGCUUCAGCAGUGGGAUGCCUUAUCCUCCUACUGAAAGAGCCCUUGGAGCAGAAGGUCUGUCUGACUUUCUGUUUCUUUCCACUGCCACCCUCCCAUCCAUCACUGCAUAUUGUUUGUGUUUGCUACCCAUCCUGCUACUUUCUGGGUGAAUUACAGGUCUCUGCUUAGAAGGAGAAUUGUGUUGGUGUUGUAAAAACUUUUUUUGGCAAGCGAAAAUAUCUUUUUUCCAUAGGUGUUGAUGAAGAAGAGUACUAACUUAAAACCUGCUAUAGAUUAAUGUAGAACAGCAUAAAUAACAACUCGGUAGUCUGAAUGGUGAAUGGGAGAAAGGAUUUGAACUAUUGUGUGAUACCGCACAAGGAGUGUUUUAUGGGAGACAUGGUAUUUUCUGUGUCAUUUCUUCAUUUGCUUUGCUCAACAGUACCCGUCCAAAAAAUCACCUUCUGCUAUGAUGAUAGCAAGAAAACAGAAGAAUAUUUGAAACUUGUUUUGAAACAGUACUCAGUGUGAAUUCAAAGCCUGGUUAUUAUUGUGCAGCUAGGAAAGCUGCUUUUCUGUCCAGCCUUCCUGUGAUCCCUUUAGCUCUAUCUGAUACUGAAGGCUUGAAAUCUGGAGAUUAGAAAUUAAAUUCCACCUCUGUGGCCCAGACCUAAUGACCCACUGGAGUCACAGCAAAUAGCUUUUUCUUUACCAUGAGUUCUUCCAGCUCAAACUUUUCCUUUUCAAUCAAAAUUGUAGUUUUUUGGAAGGAACAAUAAUUAAAACCCUGGGAUACAAGCAUAAGAAUAAUUAGUGACUUGAAAAUGAGCAGGGAUUAUUCAAACUGAUGGCAGGCCCUGAUUUUGCAGGGAUUUAAGGGCUUGUUUUAUUCUGCUUGCAUGUGUAAGCACGUAGGACAGUCAGAAGGGCUCUGUCUUGGGCUGAUGGGGAAUUUAGGGCAGCCAUGGCAAGGCCAGAAGCCAUGAGCUGUGCAGUCAGGAUGCCUGGGUGAGAUGCUGCACUUAUGGUGUCAGACAGCAAUUGCUGCUUUUAUGUUGGGUGUAAACUGCAGUAUUUCAGGAGUGGGCAUGUGCAAGGCUUGGGUGUCUGGUACAGGAACAGCAGUGUGGGGCGGAGGGGAAGGCAAGGGGUUUCCCACUGGGAUUUCCCAUGGGAUUUCCAUUUUAUUUUACAAAUGUAAAAGCUGAGAGCAGCUAGUCCCAGGCCUGUGGUAGGAGGUGAAGACUGAAGAGCAUGAAAGGAAACUCAGAGAAGUCGUGAUAUAAGUCUGAUCACUCUGAAAAUGUUGGGCACUGAGAUGUCUGGGUGGCUUUAAUUGUGCUGCUCAAAACUGGUCCUCUUUUGAAUGUGACAGAAUUGAACAGAACAGUUUUAAACCCUGUUUUGGGCUUUUCAGUGGUCUGUUAUAAUGGUAAAAUCCAGAAUUGGAAGGUGGAAGUAGUUUAUAAACAGUUUUUCAGUGAGCUCUCAAAGAGCUUCUAACAAUUCACUUUAUUAGCUGGAUUUUCAGCAGUAGAAAAUGUGACCAUGAUCAUCCCAGCUUAAUAGAAAACGUAGACACAUUGUGAUAGCGUGUGGAUUAUGCGGAGACUUGUAUUAGCCUGAUGGAUUUUCAUACUGAUCACACACAAUGUCAUAGUUUUGACCAUUGUUUCUUAUUAUGAGCUUUUAGUCUUCCCACAAGAGUUUCCAGCAUCAUUUCUGCUGACAGAUGCUGCUUAGGACAGAUGUAUUUUUAUUCCCUUACACUUGCCUUGGAUCAAACAUCUUUUUCUGUGCAGCUCAAGUUCUGCAGUGGAUUACUCCUAGUAUACUACUCUGAGAAGAAAACUGUAGUCAUUUUUGUGACCUUCUUUAGCAGCAGUUGAAAUCUUUUUUGGCACAUGUGUGUGAUCUAGUAAUUUCCACUUCCUACCAGUUGUGGGAACUCAUGCUUGUAAACAGGAUAGAAAAAUCAUGCAAAUAAAAAGAGACGGAGAAAAUCCA